GUCGAGGGGCAGCACGAGUACUUGUACUUGGUGGCGACCGGCGCACGGGUGCGUAACGCGUAUGCAACCUACCUAUUACUGGAGGAUAGCCCGAGGAAACUCGGAUUAAUACUCCAUAGUAUCUUAAUGCCACCUGGUAUAAAGAUUAAAGAUUUAUUGGUAAUAGAUGGGCAUGCGUAUCAUUAGUUAGUUGGUGAGGUAAUGGCUCACCAAGACCGCGAUGAUUAGGGGGCCUGAGAGGGUGAUCCCCCACACUGGUACUGAGACACGGACCAGACUCCUACGGGAGGCAGCAGUAGGGAAUAUUGGUCAAUGGAGGAGACUCUGAACCAGCCAUGCCGCGUGCAGGAAGAAGGCCUUCUGGGUUGUAAACUGCUUUUGACAGGGAAGAAAACGGCUAUGCGUAGCUAAUUGACGGUACUUGUAGAAUAAGCACCGGCUAACUCCGUGCCAGCAGCCGCGGUAAUACGGAGGGUGCAAGCGUUGUCCGGAUUUAUUGGGUUUAAAGGGUGCGUAGGUGGCCCAUUAAGUCAGUGGUGAAAUUCUACAGCUUAACUGUAGAACUGCCAUUGAUACUGGUGGGCUUGAGUAUUGUUGAGGCAGGCGGAAUUUAUGAUGUAGCGGUGAAAUGCAUAGAUAUCAUAAAGAACACC
rnacentral:rRNA from 1 species